rnacentral:rRNA from 1 species
AGAGUUUGAUCCUGGCUCAGGACGAACGCUGGCGGCGUGCUUAACACAUGCAAGUCGAACGUGAUUUUUGUGGAAAUUCUUUCGGGAAUGGAAAUGAAAUGAAAGUGGCGAACGGGUGAGUAACACGUGAGCAACCUACCUUACACAGGGGGAUAGCCGUUGGAAACGACGAUUAAUACCGCAUGAGACCACAGAAUCGCAUGAUAUAGGGGUCAAAGAUUUAUCGGUGUAAGAAGGGCUCGCGUCUGAUUAGCUAGUUGGAAGGGUAAAGGCCUACCAAGGCGACGAUCAGUAGCCGGUCUGAGAGGAUGAACGGCCACAUUGGAACUGAGACACGGUCCAAACUCCUACGGGAGGCAGCAGUGGGGAAUAUUGCACAAUGGGGGGAACCCUGAUGCAGCGACGCCGCGUGAGCGAAGAAGGUUUUCGAAUCGUAAAGCUCUGUCCUAUGAGAAGAUAAUGACGGUAUCAUAGGAGGAAGCCCCGGCUAAAUACGUGCCAGCAGCCGCGGUAAUACGUAUGGGGCGAGCGUUGUCCGGAAUUAUUGGGCGUAAAGGGUACGUAGGCGGUUUUUUAAGUCAGGUGUGAAAGCGUGAGGCUUAACCUCAUUAAGCACUUGAAACUGGAAGACUUGAGUGAAGGAGAGGAAAGUGGAAUUCCUAGUGUAGCGGUGAAAUGCGUAGAUAUUAGGAGGAAUACCGGUGGCGAAGGCGACUUUCUGGACUUUUACUGACGCUCAGGUACGAAAGCGUGGGGAGCAAACAGGAUUAGAUACCCUGGUAGUCCACGCCGUAAACGAUGAGUGCUAGGUGU